rnacentral:tRNA from 1 species
GCGCGCCGGUGGGUGGGGGCGAGCAGGGCGGUGACGGCGCCCGCGGCGUCCGCGACGGUCGCCGCGUCCGGCGUGCGCC